AGUGAGAGUAAAUUUAUCAUGUGUUGGCAACCCUGUUGUGAUUAGUUCAAAAAAUUGUGGUGCUCCGUGCUUUUGAAAAAAAUUAAUAGUUAUUGCGUUAUUAAAUUAAUUAAUCUGGUAAAAAAGUGUUUAAAAGUGUUCAAUAGUGAUUUGUAACUCAAAGUGAUAAUUGGUGUAGUGUUUUAAAAUCUUGUUUUGUGUUUUAAAGUUAUAUCAAUUUUAAAAUUGUGUAGUUUUACAUUUUCCUUUUAUCCUCUUUCUUUUGUUACAUUAGCUAAUUAGUUGUUGUAACAUUAUCGUCUUGUUUUGUUUGUCAUCUCAAAAGAGUUGCCAACAUUAAAAAAAAAAAUAAUAAAAAAGAAUAAAUAUAAAUAACAAAAAUUCCAGCUACAGAUCUAAUCUUAAAUAAAUAUUUGGAACUUGUGUAUUAAAAAAGAAAUAUAUAUAAUUAAAAUAAAGAAAAUGUCGUGCCCUUUUGAAUUGUGUAAUAUUGUUGCAGAGGAUGAAUUGUGUGUUACCUGUUGGUUUUGUCUUAAUCAAUGGCAUGCAAAAUGUGCUAGGAUUAAUGCAAAAGUAGUAGACACAAUUAGAAAUAAUGUUGGUGUUCGUUGGUGUUGUGUGCAAUGCAGGAAACUCUCUGCAGACUUUUAUAAUUUUGUAAAGGAGUUGCAGUCGGAAUUAACAUCGAUGAAAAAAGAUUUUUCCUCAUUAUCACUCCGAUUUGAGAAUUUCUCUACAUUGUUUGAGAAAUACCAAGAGUUAGAUGAGUUUGUGUCGUCACCGUCAGUUUCUGGACAGAAACGCAAAAGGGCUGCGAAAAAGGCACCAACUAAGGGAAUGCCUAGUCGCAAAGCAAUAGUUUCUGUUGAGAACACUGUUCCACAACCGGUCUCAGUUAAUAUCACUGAUACAACUGAGACUGGACGUGAACAGUCGUAUGCCAGUGUUAUUACACACCCAGUUCCGGUAGAUAACAGCGGUAUAGGUAAAGGGGUAAUUAAUCCUGAUGUUAUGAAUAUUGAUAGUGAGGUUUCUAAGAAAACCUCACAAUCUACUCGUGACAUACAGGAAUUAUCAUUUCCUUCACUUAUCACUAGUGAUCGUCCCGAGACUGCUACUGGCAAAACUCAACCUGUCCAAAGAUCAUUAUCCAUGGCCCCCGCCAUAAAAAUGAUAUUUGCAACAAGGCUCUUUAUAUAUCUCCAUGACUCACAGUUAUGUAAUUGAAGAAAGUCAGUCCGACUCAUUUAAAACAGUCCUUAAUUACAAAAAAACUAAUUUUCGAAAACUUAAUACCCUCAUAACAGCCAUACAGAUUUAGAAUAUGUAAUUGAUAAAUUUUAUGAUAUUUUAAAUAGAUUUAAACUGGAAUGUGUUCCAACCACUAGAGUUAAAAAUUCAAAUAAACAUCCAUGGAUAACCCCUGAGUUAUCAAGUUUAAAAAAUUCUAAAAAUAAGCUUUUUCGUAAAUAUAAAAAAUCAGGCUUAACAAUAGACUACACUAAUUACUCUGUUGCUAGAUCUAAAUAUACUUUAGAGUCUCGUAGAUUGUAUAAUCUUUACCUAGACAAGAUUAAAAAUAAUGUUAAAUCCAAUCCUAAAUCUUUUUAUGAUUUUGUUAAUCUAAAACGAAAAGUUUCCUCAAAGCCCUCAGUAUUGAAAUAUAACAAUAAAGAAUUUGUCACAGGCACAGAUAUUGCUGAAUGUUUCGCAGAUUUUUUUGCCACAACCUAUUCCAGUACAUCUUGCCAAAUUAAAGACUCGUAUCCUUAUAAGUUAUCACAGGCUGAUCAAAUUUGUAUGCCUUUUCUACAACGUCAUGAUGUAUCCAAUAGUCUGCGUAGUUUAAAAUCGAUUAAAUGUCCAGGACCGGAUGGCAUACCUAAUAUAAUUCUUAAAUAUUGUUCAGAAACAUUAGCACUUCCGUUAACUAUAUUGUUUAAUUAUUCACUUAAAUUUGGUCACUUUCCUACUUUUUGGAAAAAAUCUUAUAUUAUACCUUUACAUAAGUCUGGUAGUCUUACUAAUGUGUCAAAUUAUAGAGGAAUUGCAAAAUUAAGUGCCAUACCAAAAUUGUUUGAAAAAUUAAUUACUGCAGUAAUUUCACAGAAAAUUCAAUCUAUAUUGAGUCCAUAUCAGCAUGGUUUUCGUAGUGGUCUUUCAACUACAACAAAUCUUAUAGAAUUUACGUCAACAGAAAUAAAAGGAUUUGUUCAGCGUAAACAAACUGAUACAAUUUAUACCGAUUUUAGUAAAGCUUUUGAUAGGGUUAACCAUGAACUCCUAAUAUAUAAAUUAAAUUAUAUGGGUUUCAACACAAACUUAGUCAAAUGGAUAUCAUCUUACUUACAAAAUAGAUCACAACUAGUUUUGUUUGAAGGGUAUCUAUCCAAAACGAUUAACGUUCCAUCGGGUGUUCCGCAAGGAAGUCACCUUGGACCGGUCCUCUUUCUUUUAUUUAUCAACGAUUUACCUAAUUCCAUAAAUUACUCGAAAUUGUUAAUGUACGCAGAUGAUGUUAAAUUAUUCAUUUCCCAUAAUUGUGAUAAACGAGCGAGUUUACUUCAAAACGAUUUAGAUAGCCUUUUUAAAUGGUGCACGUUAAAUUGUAUGGAGUUAAAUUUAAGCAAAUGUAAGCAUAUGUGCUUCUCCAGAUCUUCUUCUCUGAUAUUAAAAUAUAAUAUUGACGGUCAUUCAUUAUCAACUGUAGAUUCAUUUGUUGAUCUUAGCCUCUUAAUGAAUCAAAAAUUAAAUUUUAAUAGCCAUGUAAUAACAAUGGUAAAUAAAGCAAAUGGUGUUUUAGGUUUUGUUAAACGGUGGGCCAAAGAAUUUUCUGAUCCAUAUAUAACAAAACAGUUAUUUACGUCUCUUGUUAGACCUAUAUUGGAAUACGGUUCUGUUGUAUGGGAUCCUCAAUAUGCAACAUACUCAGAUAAAAUAGAAUCCGUGCAAAAACAAUUUCUGCUAUUUGCCUUACGAGGUUUACAUUGGAAUAGUGAUUUUGUUUUGCCUUCUUAUUCUAGCAGGCUAAAAUUAAUUAGAUUGCCUACACUUAAAAGCAGACGUAUUAUGUUGAACUCCAUGUUUGUACUAAAAAUAUUAAAUGGUAAUAUACCCUCAGAUUUUCUGAUUUCAUCUAUUAGAAUUAAUGUUCCGUUUAGAUCUAGUAGAUACUACCAAUUAUUAUAUACUGAUUUUCACCGCACGAAUUAUUCAAUGGGCGAACCUCUUAGUAAAAUGUGUGUUGACUUUAAUUCUGUGUACUGUAAUGUAGAUUUUGGUAUGAGUUUAGAAGUUAUUAAAUCUAGAAUAAUUCUAUUUUUUUAAACAAUUAACAUACAUGUUUUAUUAUUUGACAAACUAGCUGAUGAAUUAAAUUCUGUAGCUGGUUUUAAAUUUCCUACUGAAUUCCCAUUAUGAUGCGGAUCAUGAUGUGUACGCGAUCCCUCCGUAAAGGGAGGUCGCCCCCUCGGUCGGCAGGGGUGGGAAUGUGAGGCGUGGGAACGUUCGGAAAAAAAAAAAAAAAUAUAACUCAAAACUGCUUGUUAUGGAAAAAAUAAAAUUUACAGUAAUGAAAAUUGUAUAAUGAUAAAAAUUUUAUUUCCAUUUUAUUGCAAUUUCCAUUUACAAUUGCAAAAACUUUGUUCCAAUAUCAAAUUUGGCAUUCAAAACACUGCGCACAUAAAUACUUUAAAACUGAAACAAACUAAUGGAAAAUGGUUAAGGAUGCACCUUUAUGGUGUCCACUUUCGGAAGGACCAUCGUAAAUGCUCCUAGACCAAAUCCCACAAUGGCCAGACUUAUAUUUCAUGUGGUGCUCUUAGAAUAAAUUGGUUUGGACCCACUGUGGAAAAAAGGUUAAGGAUGUAACUUUAUGGUGUACAUUUUCGGAAAGAGCAUCGAGAAUGCUCCUAGACUUCUUAUUUUGAAAGACCAAACCCAUCUGGAAAUCCCACGGUGGUCAGACUUAUAUUUCAUAUCGUCACUGUAGGAGAAAUUGGUCUGGGCCCAUUGUGGGAAAAUGGUUAAGGAUGCACCUUGAUGAUGUCCAUUUUCGGAAAGUGUAUCGAAAAUGCUCCUAGACAACUUAUUUUGAAAGGACAAACCCAUCUGGUAAUUCCACGGUGGCCGGACUUAUAUGUCAUGUGGUCUCCAUUGUAUUGUUCUUAUAUUUUUAAGUCAGCUCAAAUGUUUUUAUUGAAGUUCAACAAAAAUCUGCAUGGAAUCUUUUGUUCAUUUUAUUUUUAUUGGUUGUCCUGUUGCGUUAUUGGUGACAAAAUGUUGGUUUUUUAGAGUUUCUAUUUUUCUGUUCCCAUCUCCUUUUAACUUUUUCUCUGUAAGACCAUAAAAUAAUUUUUUUUAAGUUUGCUCUUCUGCUAUUUUCGCAACUAACUGGUAAGGGAACUGUUACAUUUUUCUAAUUAACAGCUUUACCUAAAAUUCGACUUGGUGUACAAUACUUCGACUUGGUAUAUAAUACCCAAAUGAUCCAGGUACAUCUACAAUCUAAUAACGUUGGAAAAAAUCAGAUAUAUAUUUAAAAAUAAACCACCUUACAGACAUUUAUUCAUUUAUUUUUUUAUUAUUAAUUUCCAUUUUCAACACACAUAAAAGGAAUUUGUUCAAUUGUCAAUGUUGAAAAUCUUCUGCUUUGAAAUUACGUACGCUAGAUGUAUUUCGGUAAAAAUUAUAUAAAUACAUAUGAUUAAAUUGUGCGGUGAAUAACGUCGACACAGGAUGUUGACUUUUGGGUAACGCUGUUAACGUAAUUUUUAAUAUAAAAAUUUUGGAAAUCAUAUGUAGUGUACAUUCAUUAUUUUCGAAUAAAAAUUAGGUUUUUGCAACAAUAAAUGAACAGCGCAAUUUAUUAAAUAAUAUGUCCUCCUUUCAUCAUAAAGAAUGGAAUGUCACUAUCAAAUAUUAUAUAUUUACAAUUUGUUAAAAUGUUACUCAUAUUCUUCGUUAUUACCAUACAUUACCACACGCAGCAUCAGCAACUAGAAAUUGCAACCGUACUAUAUUUUUACAAAACCAUCAAGUUGACAACAUUGUAGCCAUGAUUCAAGUAUAAGGUCCCCCUUCCAGCUCAGCUGAUUGGAUUUUCUCCUCUGAUUAUGUCCAACACAGGCUAACGCCAACCAAAGUUUUCUAAAUGUGGUGCUUUUGUAAUUCCAACGACGGCUACGCGAAAUGAAUCUUUUUUACUGAAAACAUAAUUUUAAUAAACUGGUUAGAAUCGGGUUAUGCGGAUGGAAAGACCCAUAUCUCUGGACCCGAAAAAGGUAUUAACACAAAUUGUAGCAUUUUGGAAAGGUAAGAGUGCCAGCUAUAAUUUGGCAUCAAUUUUGUUGACCCCCAUAAUGGGCCCUUUUUGGACUUUUUGGGGGUUUUAUAAAAAAUCCGGGUCCAAAAAAUCGAUAAUUUGACUAUAAUUUCCGAAUCGUGACCACUGGUUGGGUAGGUAUUUUCAUAAAAUACCUAUAUUGUCUAUAUCGGGUAAUAGGGGCCGUGUCCAGGCCGGGUCUUGAACCCAGAUUUUCGGGUCAAAAAUGUCAACUGUCAACUCAUGAAAAUCGAAGAAAUUAAAAGUAGCGUUCGCACCCAACGCAUUUCUGAUCAUAGCCAUAUUAAAGGUUUGGGCAUACAUGGCGAAGGUGACAAAAUGCUGUCCGAGAAGCUGCUGCUAUAGUUGUGAAUUUAACGAAACACAAGAAAAUGCUGGUCUUGUCUCACAGCUGGACGUACUAUCAGGUACGGGCAAAUUGGUAAAUUUACCGAACUGACAGAAAAAGUGGAGGUGGAUGAUAUCUACAUUUAGGCCAAUAGUGGUGCCGUCAAUCGUUAUGGACGCAGUGACACCUUUGCAGCGGAAUUGGAUUUGGAGACCGAUGUGACACUUCACACAUUGGCUCACCUCAUGGCAUUCCCUUGGAUUUACCUGAUGUAUGGAUCAUCAUAGGCACCUUGCCAUAGCAUUCCAGUGAAAUAUGGAACAACUCAUAAUGUUGCGUGCCCAAACGAAGAACCUGCAAUUUGAAGAGUCCGCAUUUAAACGUCUCAAUGAAACCCGCAUUGACUAAGAUAAGAAAAUGUGAACAGACUAUCGAGUUAAGAAUAAAUAAUAUACAAUUAUCAA